GCCUUUCUGGUCUAGUUGGUUGGGCCGCGUAUGACUUGCAUCCUCGCUACGUCGCAAGUUCAAGCCUUGCACGAAGCGCA